rnacentral:rRNA from 1 species
GGACUACCAGGGUUUCUAAUCCUGUUUGCUCCCCACGCUUUCGUGCAUGAGCGUCAAUCUUGACCCAGGGGGCUGCCUUCGCCAUCGGUGUUCCUCCACAUCUCUACGCAUUUCACUGCUACACGUGGAAUUCUACCCCCCUCUGCCAGAUUCUAGCCUUGCAGUCUCCAUCGCAAUUCCCAGGUUGAGCCCGGGGAUUUCACGACAGACUUACAAAACCGCCUGCGCACGCUUUACGCCCAGUAAUUCCGAUUAACGCUUGCACCCUACGUAUUACCGCGGCUGCUGGCAC